rnacentral:rRNA from 1 species
UACGUAGGGUGCGAGCGUUGUCCGGAAUUAUUGGGCGUAAAGGGCUCGUAGGCGGUUUGUCGCGUCGGGAGUGAAAACUCAGGGCUUAACCCUGAGCCUGCUUCCGAUACGGGCAGACUAGAGGUAUGCAGGGGAGAACGGAAUUCCUGGUGUAGCGGUGAAAUGCGCAGAUAUCAGGAGGAACACCGGUGGCGAAGGCGGUUCUCUGGGCAUUACCUGACGCUAAGGAGCGAAAGUGUGGGGAGCGAACGGG